GACGAACGCUGGCGGCGUGCCUAAUACAUGCAAGUAGAACGCUGAAGGAGGAGCUUGCUCUUCUGGAUGAGUUGCGAACGGGUGAGUAACGCGUAGGUAACCUGCCUGGUAGCGGGGGAUAACUAUUGGAAACGAUAGCUAAUACCGCAUAAAAUUGAUUAUUGCAUGAUAGUCAAUUAAAAGGUGCAAUUGCAUCACUACCAGAUGGACCUGCGUUGUAUUAGCUAGUUGGUGAGGUAACGGCUCACCAAGGCAACGAUACAUCGCCGACCUGAGAGGGUGAUCGGCCACACUGGGACUGAGACACGGCCCAGACUCCUACGGGAGGCAGCAGUAGGGAAUCUUCGGCAAUGGACGGAAGUCUGACCGAGCAACGCCGCGUGAGUGAAGAAGGUUUUCGGAUCGUAAAGCUCUGUUGUAAGAGAAGAACGAGUGUGAGAGUGGAAAGUUCACACUGUGACGGUAUCUUACCAGAAAGGGACGGCUAACUACGUG
rnacentral:rRNA from 1 species